CCACUCUCAGGAUCGCACCUGGAGAGUUUCCAGUACUCUACCAGUCUUGACUAUGGGAGGGAGAGUCAAACAGAGGUAUACCCAUUCUAUUUUUAGCUUGGGCAGUGGCUAGCAGGUGGAAGGCAAUCUGCUACAAGU
rnacentral:snoRNA from 1 species